GUGGGGAAUUUUGGACAAUGGGCGCAAGCCUGAUCCAGCAAUGCCGCGUGCAGGAUGAAGGCCUUCGGGUUGUAAACUGCUUUUGUACGGAACGAAAAGCCCUGGGUUAAUACCCUGGGGUCAUGACGGUACCGUAAGAAUAAGCACCGGCUAACUACGUGCCAGCAGCCGCGGUAAUACGUAGGGUGCGAGCGUUAAUCGGAAUUACUGGGCGUAAAGCGUGCGCAGGCGGUUUUGUAAGACAGAGGUGAAAUCCCCGGGCUCAACCUGGGAACUGCAUUUGUGACUGUAUAGCUAGAGUACGGUAGAGGGGGAUGGAAUUCCGCGUGUAGCAGUGAAAUGCGUAGAUAUGCGGAGGAACACCGAUGGCGAAGGCAAUCCCCUGGACCUGUACUGACGCUCAUGCACGAAAGCGUGGGGAGCAAACAGGAUUAGAAACCCCAGUAGUCC
rnacentral:rRNA from 1 species